AAUACUAUACUUUCAGGGAUCAUUUCUGUAGUUCAUUACUAGAGAAGUUUCUCUGAUUGUGUAGAGUACCAGAAACCAUGAGGAGGAGGCAUACUGUUCCCUUCUGAGCAUUUUUGGUGUUGCUUUGCUGCAACUGCCUAUUGCAAUUAAUGAUUGUUCUCCUCUCCUCUUUGGAGAGCAAGAGGAAGGGAACACAGUCUGAGUGGU